UACGUAGGGCGCAAGCGUUAUCCGGAAUUAUUGGGCGUAAAGAGCUCGUAGGCGGUUUGUCGCGUCUGCCGUGAAAGUCCGGGCUCAACUCCGGAUCUGCGGUGGGUACGGGCAGACUAGAGUGAUGUAGGGGAGACUGGAAUUCCUGGUGUAGCGGUGAAAUGCGCAGAUAUCAGGAGGAACACCGAUGGCGAAGGCAGGUCUCUGGGCAUUAACUGACGCUGAGGAGCGAAAAGCAUGGGGAGCGAACAGG
rnacentral:rRNA from 1 species